CCCACCUGUCUGACUCGAGUUAUUUUUUUCCCAUGUCUGGACAAGACUGACCUCUGCCCAGCAACUCAGGCCUGGAUUUAGUCCAAGGGCCCUCAGUGGCUUUUUUUGUUUGUUUGUUUUUUCAGGAAGUGAAGAAUUUAGAGGGAUAAAAGGCGGAAAUAACUUUUCAGCCUCUGACCUUUGUAACAAUCUGGUUUCCUUUUAAAGGAGCAUUGUUUGGGCCUGGGGCCACCUAGACCUUCUGAUGCUCUUUCCCCACCCUUGGAGGAGGAGGAAAGGAAGAAAAUGGGCCCUGAGCGAUCACCACAUACCAGGCCCUGGGGGUCUAGUGGCGAAGGAGGCAGGUAGGGUCUCUGCUUUCAUGGAGCUUCUAGUCAAGCGAGACACACUAAACAGUAAAGGGACAAAUAGGAUUACUGGAGGUAGCCCUAACUACUGGGACAGAAACAAGAUGGUAAGAUAGAGAAGGAAGAGUGGCCUGCUCAGAUGGGGUGGUCCAGAGGCCUCUCGGGGGAGGUGACUCCUUUUUAUUUUAUUUUUUUUGAGAUGGAAUCUAGCUCUGUCGCCCAGCCUGAAGUGC
rnacentral:lncRNA from 1 species